rnacentral:rRNA from 1 species
UACGUAGGGGGCUAGCGUUGUCCGGAAUCAUUGGGCGUAAAGCGCGUGUAGGCGGUCCGUUAAGUCCGCUGUGAAAGUCGAGGGCUCAACCCUCGAAUGCCGGUGGAUACUGUCGGGCUUGAGUACGGGAGAGGCGAGUGGAAUUCCUGGUGUAGCGGUGAAAUGCGUAGAUAUCUGGAGGAACACCGGUGGCGAAGGCGGCAUCCUGGACCGGUAUUGACGCUGAGGCGCGAAAGCUAGGGGAGCAAACGGG